rnacentral:lncRNA from 1 species
AGUAAUUAGUGACGUAACAAGUCAUAACGACAAUGGCGGAAAGAUGGUAGAGGAUUAAAUCAUUAGAAUCGAAGUAGAUAAGUGCCUUCAAUACGGAUUUAAUAUCAUUUCUUAUGUAAUUAAAACAGAAUUAUAGAUACAAUACUUCUCGUAUUAAUUAAAAAAAAAAACAGGUGACAUGUAAAAAAAGGCGUAGACUCACCCUCCUCAACACCAUUUUUGUUUCGAUAAUUCGUCAUCGACCAACCUGUAUUCGUCGUUAAAAGAAAGGUUUCAAUCCGAAGAGUUUCGGCAAAGAUCAGAGCAGAAAGCUUAGAAGUAAUGGAGAUCGGAGAUGAAUGCCCGAGGAUACACAGCGAUAUAUCAAACAAGAGACACCCAAAACUGAAAUGAAUAGAUAGCAUUCACGGUCUAAUGGACACGGAAUUAAAAGGGAUUUAUACUAUUUUAUACAUCCGGAGAUACACAUGCCAUAUGCUCUGCUAUUUUUCAUUUAAGUUCUUCUUCCUCAAUAAAUGUGCAGAUUAAUCGAUUAAACUCAUUAAAAAAAUAAAGGCCUAUGGGCUCACGAAUUCUA